GUUAAAAGGCCGCCCCAAUUAUUCGUCAUGGAACUGAUCACUCCAUGUUAAAUAUCUACACUGUUUGACGCGUCACAGUGGACCGAAUAUAGUAUCCAGCGGAGUUUAAUUGUGUUGGACACCCUAAAACCAUAAUCAACGCUAGUACGGUACUGAAACGGAGCGAGCUUUCGAACAAGUCAGGACAACCAAUCAGAGCGGUGGUUCGAGACAACUGUCAGCUGACUCGGAACCUUGGAGUGGAGAUUGAAAGUGAAGACGCUGAAUCAUCCUCAUUUGGCCGCCAUCAGACUUAUCGUUGAGACAAGAAAUCUCUGCAACUUCUGGACGCCGGUCUACAAUUUUGCCCUCAGAUUCUUAAGGAUUUAUAUACUGAGGGUGUACGUUCCGGCCUGCAAGAGUUCAGACCUACGUCUUAUGAGAGAUCCUACCUACGGCUUGUGAGAGAUCCGACCUACUGCUGGAGAGACGUUACCAGAAUUGGCCCACUUACAACCUUGGCCUAUCCAACAUCGUACGGGGCUGUGGACCUGGACCACGUCCACCCCUACCACCUGUCAUCGCAGCGGACCUCCACUGUCUGAUAAGUCCUAGGCUAGCCUUUACCGUAACUUUCAUCUGACUACAGUUCAACUAUCAGCCUACUAAAUCAUUUUAAUUUGGCCAAAUACAAAGACUAAAUCAAUUUCUCUGGACAUUUAACUUAACUUACUCAACUUCUGGUGCAUCAAGAUUCAAAUUUCAUUCAAAUUUCAAUCCAGUUAUCUUCAGACUGUAUUUUGUGCAACUCCAAGUGCCGAGGGAACUAGACGCAACUAAACCAUCGUCUCAACAUAUUCUGUAGGCUAGGCCUAACUUUUAGAGAUAUAUAGAUUACGGUAAUCGUUCGGAUUGUAGCCGAAAGGGUAAUAGUGUCUUUGAUAUUUGUCGCUGGUGUUGCCUAGUUUUAAGAUUGUCUAUUUUAUUAUUUUUGUGUAUCUAGUAUUGUGUCACAUUAUGCUCUGCCGGAUUGAUUAGAGACCUGAUAUAUUUUGUCUCUGUUGUCCCCUGUUUAAUUGUAAGAUUGUCUAUUAUUAUUGUGUAUUUUGUGUCAUAUUAUUGCUUUGUCGGAUUGAUUAUUGACUACGGUCGAACAUAUAUUUUGUCUAAUGUUGUCUUUUGAGUAAAAAUUAAUUGUUGCUUUUCUGUAAAUAUACUUUGCUACCGUCUGCGCAGUCGGAAAUUCCAAAAGCUUUUGGUCACAAAAAAAAAAAAUAAUGUAAAUAAAUAAAUAGCCUAUUUGAGUUAUAUUUUAGGUUCAAGUGUCUUGGUAGUAACGAAUACUGAACGAAGAACGUUGUAUGUAGCAUUUUGAUUGAUUAUUAUUUCGUACCGGACAUUUGAGUCAGGCUUGUCUGUGCAAAAUAUUUACUUGUAAUAAACCUUCGCUUAUUUUGUCA